CGUGGGCAAUCUGCCCUUCACUCUGGGACAAGCCCUGGAAACGGGGUCUAAUACCGGAUAACACUCUGUCCCGCAUGGGACGGGGUUGAAAGCUCCGGCGGUGAAGGAUGAGCCCGCGGCCUAUCAGCUUGUUGGUGGGGUAAUGGCCUACCAAGGCGACGACGGGUAGCCGGCCUGAGAGGGCGACCGGCCACACUGGGACUGAGACACGGCCCAGACUCCUACGGGAGGCAGCAGUGGGGAAUAUUGCACAAUGGGCGAAAGCCUGAUGCAGCGACGCCGCGUGAGGGAUGACGGCCUUCGGGUUGUAAACCUCUUUCAGCAGGGAAGAAGCGAAAGUGACGGUACCUGCAGAAGAAGCGCCGGCUAACUACGUGCCAGCAGCCGCGGUAAUACGUAGGGCGCAAGCGUUGUCCGGAAUUAUUGGGCGUAAAGAGCUCGUAGGCGGCUUGUCACGUCGGAUGUGAAAGCCCGGGGCUUAACCCCGGGUCUGCAUUCGAUACGGGCU
rnacentral:rRNA from 1 species